rnacentral:rRNA from 1 species
AGUGAACGUUGGCGGUAGGCCUAACACAUGCAAGUCGAACGGCAGCACAGUAAGAGCUUGCUCUUACGGGUGGCGAGUGGCGGACGGGUGAGGAAUACAUCGGAAUCUACUUUUUCGUGGGGGAUAACGUAGGGAAACUUACGCUAAUACCGCAUACGACCUACGGGUGAAAGCAGGGGAUCUUCGGACCUUGCGCGAUUGAAUGAGCCGAUGUCGGAUUAGCUAGUUGGCGGGGUAAAGGCCCACCAAGGCGACGAUCCGUAGCUGGUCUGAGAGGAUGAUCAGCCACACUGGAACUGAGACACGGUCCAGACUCCUACGGGAGGCAGCAGUGGGGAAUAUUGGACAAAGGGCGCAAGCCUGAUCCAGCCAUACCGCGUGGGUGAAGAAGGCCUUCGGGUUGUAAAGCCCUUUUGUUGGGAAAGAAAAGCAGCAGGUUAAUACCCCGCUGUUCUGACGGUACCCAAAGAAUAAGCACCGGCUAACUUCGUG